AUCCCGGAAGAACGACCAGUGGCGAAAGCGUUUAACUAGAACGAAUCUGACGGUAAGGAACGAAGGCUUGGGUAGCAAACCGGAUUAGAUACCCGGGUAGUCCUAGCUGUAAACAUUGCCCACUUGAUGUUGCUUUUCCGUUGAGGGAAGGCAGUGUCGGAGCGAAGGUGUUAAAUGGGCCGCUUGGGAAGUAUGGUCGCAAGACUGAAACUUAAAGGAAUUGGCGGGGGAGCACCGCAACGGGAGGAAUGUGCGGUUUAAUUGGAUUCAACGCCGGAAAACUCACCGGGAACGACCUGUGCAUGAGAGUCAACCUGACGAGCUUACUCGAUAGCAGGAGAGGUGGUGCAUGGCCGUCGUCAGCUCGUACCGUAGGGCGUUCACUUAAGUGUGAUAACGAGCGAGACCCACAUCUUUAAUUGCAAAUGUAUAUGAGAAUAUGCAUGCACUUUAGAGAAACCGCCAGCGCUAAGCUGGAGGAAGGAGUGGUCGACGGCAGGUCAGUACGCCCCGAAUUUCCCGGGCUACACGCGCAUUACAAAGAACGGGACAAUACGUUGCAACCUCGAAAGAGGAAGCUAAUCGCGAAACCCGUCCAUAGUUAGGAUUGAGGGCUGUUACUCGCCCUCAUGUAUCUGGAUUCCGUAGUAAUCGCGGGUCAACAACCCGCGGUGAAC
rnacentral:rRNA from 1 species